CCUACGGGUGGCAGCAGUGAGGAAUAUUGGUCAAUGGGCGUAAGCCUGAACCAGCCAAGUCGCGUGAGGGAUGAAGGUUCUAUGGAUCGUAAACCUCUUUUAUAAGGGAAUAAAGUGUGGGACGUGUCCUGUUUUGUAUGUACCUUAUGAAUAAGGAUCGGCUAACUCCGUGCCAGCAGCCGCGGUAAUACGGAGGAUCCGAGCGUUAUCCGGUGUUAUUGGGUUUAAAGGGUGCGUAGGCGGAGUGUCAAGUCAGCGGUAAAAUUUCGGGGCUCAACCCCGUCGUGCCGUUGAAACUGACACCCUUGAGUGAGUGAGAAGUAAGCGGAAUGCGUGGUGUAGCGGUGAAAUGCAUAGAUAUCACGCAGAACGCCGAUUGCGAAGGCAGCUUACCGGCGCUCAACUGACGCUGAGGCACGAAAGUGCGGGUAUCGAACAGGAUUAGAUACCCGAGUAGUC
rnacentral:rRNA from 1 species